rnacentral:rRNA from 1 species
AGCCCCGUACACAAAAAUGCACAUACUGUGAGCUCGAUGAGUAGGGCGGGACACGUGGUAUCCUGUCUGAAUAUGGGGGGACCAUCCUCCAAGGCUAAAUACUCCUGACUGACCGAUAGUGAACCAGUACCGUGAGGGAAAGGCGAAAAGAACCCCGGCGAGGGGAGUGAAAAAGAACCUGAAACCGUGUACGUACAAGCAGUGGGAGCCUCUUUUAUGGGGUGACUGCGUACCUUUUGUAUAAUGGGUCAGCGACUUAUAUUCUGUAGCAAGGUUAACCGAAUAGGGGAGCCGAAGGGAAACCGAGUCUUAACUGGGCGUUAAGUUGCAGGGUAUAGACCCGAAACCCGGUGAUCUAGCCAUGGGCAGGUUGAAGGUUGGGUAACACUAACUGGAGGACCGAACCGACUAAUGUUGAAAAAUUAGCGGAUGACUUGUGGCUGGGGGUGAAAGGCCAAUCAAACCGGGAGAUAGCUGGUUCUCCCCGAAAGCUAUUUAGGUAGCGCCUCGUGAAUUCAUCUCCGGGGGUAGAGCACUGUUUCGGCAAGGGGGUCAUCCCGACUUACCAACCCGAUGCAAACUGCGAAUACCGGAGAAUGUUAUCACGGGAGACACACGGCGGGUGCUAACGUCCGUCGUGAAGAGGGAAACAACCCAGACCGCCAGCUAAGGUCCCAAAGUCAUGGUUAAGUGGGAAACGAUGUGGGAAGGCCCAGACAGCCAGGAUGUUGGCUUAGAAGCAGCCAUCAUUUAAAGAAAGCGUAAUAGCUCACUGGUCGAGUCGGCCUGCGCGGAAGAUGUAACGGGGCUAAACCAUGCACCGAAGCUGCGGCAGCGACACUGUGUGUUGUUGGGUAGGGGAGCGUUCUGUAAGCCUGUGAAGGUGUGCUGUGAGGCAUGCUGGAGGUAUCAGAAGUGCGAAUGCUGACAUAAGUAACGAUAAAGCGGGUGAAAAGCCCGCUCGCCGGAAGACCAAGGGUUCCUGUCCAACGUUAAUCGGGGCAGGGUGAGUCGACCCCUAAGGCGAGGCCGAAAGGCGUAGUCGAUGGGAAACAGGUUAAUAUUCCUGUACUUGGUGUUACUGCGAAGGGGGGACGGAGAAGGCUAUGUUGGCCGGGCGACGGUUGUCCCGGUUUAAGCGUGUAGGCUGGUUUUCCA